AUCUGGGAGUGAAGCGCCGCGUGGGGCGCGGGUCGCACAGGUGCUUCGCCGAGACGGGUACCGGCUUUCAGUGGUUAGAAAAAAUGGAUAAUGUAGCUGCCCCACAGCCUACUUGCACUCUUGUUUACUGGAAGAAUGAAUGGGAGAGCUGAGGAGGAGGACCCUUGAGAUGAGACCGAUGAAAGGAAGGAAGAGAGAAAUGGGGAAUGUAUCUCUUUUUGCCAGAAAAAGUACAAUUCUGGAAGUCAGAAGGCCAAAUGAAGGAAAGAAGUUUGUAAUCUAAAAUGAGGUCAAAAAGAGCAGGGACAGAAAGUCGUUGGGGAGACCUGUACUUUCUGAAGGCAGCAAGAAAAAUGUCCACGUUUUUGCCUUGAUAUCCUCGGACAUCUACUAAGAAUGAAGGAAAGGAAGAUAUAGUAUCACAGAGUAGUGAAAUCAGGGGUUAUGUACCCAGAGAACCGUGGGUCAGAUUCAUUGUCAUCUGUGCAUCUCUAAUGCAUAACCGGAGUUGAAUCAUUGCAUUAGAGAAUGAGAGAGUCAUCAUCACAUGUAACCCAAACAACUCCACGUUUUAAUGCUGGGGGGUAACUGGUUUAUUUUAUUGUUUAUAGUUAGCAGCUUAUCUUGAAGACAAUCUUCUAGAGACAAACACAUGGACUCUAACACAGACUCUAAACAGACAGGAUGUAUCACUAAAGGACCCAGUAACAGACCACAGUGAAAAGUAAUAAUUCUGAGGAAAAAAAUAUCUCCCUGUGAUAGAAAACAAAACACACUCCUAUAAAAUUAACAACAAAAAGCAGUGUAAGAAGCAAGCUUCUAUUUUAUGAAAAAAUCCAAACCACCAAUGCAUGUAAAAUAAUUCAACUUAUAAAAUGUAGAAAAAAAAGAUCAAAAAUUAAUUUUAACAAUACCUGACACACUAUCAUGUGUGUAUAUAGUCUCUUACAUAGUUUAAGACUAUCUCAGUAUUAAACACCCAGCUUCUCUCAAGUUGUGGCAAGCCCAAAUAGCGUUCUGACUAGUCAUUCACGAUCCUCUUUUUUUUUUUCUUAAAAAAAUUUUUUUACUGUUUUUAUUUAUUUUUGAGAGAGAGAGACAGCGUGAG